rnacentral:rRNA from 1 species
UGCCAGCAUCCGCGGUACUACUUAUUUGGCAAUCGUUGUCCGGAUUUACUGGGCGUAAAGCGCGCGCAGGCGGCUAAUUAAGUCUGGUGUUUAAGGCUGGGGCUCAACCCCGGUUCGCACUGGAAACUGGUUGGCUUGAGUACAGAAGAGGAAAGUGGAAUUCCACGUGUAGCGGUGAAAUGCGUAGAGAUGUGGAGGAACACCAGUGGCGAAGGCGACUUUCUGGGCUGUAACUGACGCUGAGGCGCGAAAGCGUGGGGAGCAAACAGGAUUAGAUA